UUAACACAUGCAAGUCGAGCGAGAACCAGUCCUUCGGGACUGGGGACAGCGGCGAACGGGUGAGUAACACGUGGGUAAUCUGCCCUCGGCACCGGAAUAGCCCGGGGAAACCCGGAUUAAUGCCGGAUGGCCUCUCCGCCCCUCGGGGCGGUGAGAAAAGGUAGCUUCGGCCUCUGGCCGAGGAUGAGCCCGCGGCCGAUUAGCUUGUUGGUGGGGUAACGGCUCACCAAGGCGACGAUCGGUAGCUGGUCUGAGAGGACGAUCAGCCACACUGGGACUGAGACACGGCCCAGACUCCUACGGGAGGCAGCAGUGGGGAAUCUUGCGCAAUGGGCGAAAGCCUGACGCAGCGACGCCGCGUGCGGGAAGAAGGCCUUCGGGUUGUAAACCGCUUUCAGGAGGGACGAAGCCACUCGGGUGAAUAGCCCAGAGGGUGACGGUACCUCCAGAAGAAGCCCCGGCUAACUACGUGCCAGCAGCCGCGGUAAUACGUAGGGGGCUAGCGUUGUCCGGAUUUAUUGGGCGUAAAGAGCGUGUAGGCGGCCAGGUAGGUCUGGUGUGAAAACUCGAGGCUUAACCUCGAGAUGUCAUCGGAAACCACCUGGCUAGAGUCCGGAAGAGGAAAGUGGAAUUCCUGGUGUAGCGGUGAAAUGCGCAGAUAUCAGGAAGAACACCAAUGGCGAAAGCAGCUUUCUGGGACGGUACUGACGCUGAGACGCGAAAGCGUGGGGAGCGAACAGGAUUAGAUACCCUGGUAGUCCACGCCGUAAACGAUGGGCGCUAGGUGUGGGCGGUGUCGACUCCGUCCGUGCCGAAGCUAACGCAUUAAGCGCCCCGCCUGGGGAGUACGGCCGCAAGGCUAAACUCA
rnacentral:rRNA from 1 species